ACGCUCGACACCUACGGGAGACAGCAGUGGGGAAUAUUGCACAAUGGGGGAAACCCUGAUGCAGCAACGCCGCGUGAAGGAAGACGGUUUUCGGAUUGUAAACUUCUGUUCUUAGUGAAGAUAGUGACGGUAGCUAAGGAGCAAGCCACGGCUAACUACGUGUCAGCAGCCGCGGUAAUCUGAGCGGGCUGGCAAGGC
rnacentral:rRNA from 1 species